GGUCCAGUGGCCAAAUGGCAAGGCGCUUGACUACGAAUCAAGAGAUUGCAGGUUCGAUCCCUGCCUGGAUCG
rfam:Gaeumannomyces graminis var. tritici R3-111a-1 unplaced genomic scaffold supercont2.7, whole genome shotgun sequence.